UACAGAGGGGGCAAGCGUUGUUCGGAAUUACUGGGCGUAAAGGGCGCGUAGGUGGCCUUCUAAGUUGAACGUGAAAUCCCUGGGCUCAACCCAGGAACUGCGUCCAAGACUGGGAGGCUUGAAUCCGGGAGAGGGAUGCGGAAUUCCAGGUGUAGCGGUGAAAUGCGUAGAUAUCAAGAGGAACACCUGAGGUGAAGACGGGUUGCUGGGCUGACACUGACGCUGAGGCGCGAAAGCCAGGGGAGCAAACGGG
rnacentral:rRNA from 1 species